rnacentral:lncRNA from 1 species
GCAUCUAAUGCUGUACAAUUAAACAUACUAAUAUAUAAAUGACAAAAAACUACAACAAAUAAAUCCACCAAAAUCCUAUCAAUUUUCUAUUUCUAUAUCUCCUUUGAUAUCUAUAUAUUAAUAAAUUACCAAAUCAAAAAGUUUGGUCUAAUUUUGGGAGUUUAUAGAUUGUAAUAUCUCCAUAAGCUUCAUUUUGCUCCACAUCUACACAGCCAGUAGUUUUCAGAACCUGAAAAACAUUAGACAGAAAACAAGGUAAAAAUGAAAACAAUUUCAUAUAAAACAUUCUCAUACUUUGGUUCGUUUUGAGGUCCAUGUCAUGAAUCAUGAGUAACGUGGUCUUACAUUUAUAACCAAAAAAUUAAAAAAAAGAAAAUAAUAAGAAAUUACACUGAUAUAUCCAAUGAGUUUUGUUGACAUAGUUCAUAACUCACUAUAGACGGUAUGAUGUGUUUCUUGGAAGGCAUGGUGUGGUGUGUAAUAAGCAUAUAUAUAUAUAAGAAAUUUCAGUGUAAUAUGUUUCAAACAAAGGGGUUAUGCAGGAGUAAAAAGAGGAGUAUUAGAGAAAAUUUGACAAAACUCAGGAUAUAUAUGUGUAAUUUACUCAAAAUAAAAUGUUGCAGUCCUAGUUUAAUCUAAGAAUGGACUGGUAUUUCUACCAAAGGUUUUUCCUCUUUGAAUAUUCAAGCAUCGGAAAAAAAGCAAUGGCAAUAUCUUAUAGUAUCACACAUGCACAUUGUUAGGAAUGGGGACAAGACCGAGAAGAAAGGGGAACGACUUUUACAGGUCAAAAAAGGUAAAUUGUAAUUAGUUAUAACCAGGUAGUAGUUAUGUGUUUAGAGUAAAAGGACCUAAUAAAUAGGUCCUCAUGUGUAAUUGGGUUCUUUUUAGCUUAUGUUUUCCAACUUUGGUGAAUCUACUAAACUAUUGAGUGGUCCUUUUGGGGUAAUUAUGUUUACCCUGUUAUGACUGCUGAAGGUGUGUGAAGAAAUACAGUUCAUUUCAAUCACACUGUUCUGUAACAGUGAAAGAGUUUUCAGAGUUAGGAUUUCUAUUUUUUGUUGUUUUUAUAUCUAAGGUGCUUUUGUUUGGAACAACCUAAAAGCUGGACUGAGUUUAUUCCAUGGGCUGAAUAUUGGUAUAAUAUCAUAUUUCAAAGGGUGGCUGUUAGGCAAGAAGAUAAGGAGAAAGUGUGGAAGGUGUAUUAUAGAAGGAAAUUUAAGAAUACUGAAUAAAGAGGGUUUCGGGUAGUUUUGUUUGUUACGGUUGGUCUUUAAAAAAAGACCAACCUGUGUGUGUUGUUUUGUUUGUUUCGGGUUGAAGGUCUCUUUUUGGUAUGUGUGUUGUUUUGACAGGAGUAAUACUUAUGUGAACAUAACAAUUUGGUUCGACCUGUUGGAUCAGAAGGGUGUGGGAGAGAAUAUGGAGAGAAUAUGGAAUAGAGGAUGAGUGUUGUGGAUAAAUUGACCAGCGAACAAGGAAGAGUGAUGGCGAAAAUAAGAGCAGAUAUCACGAGUUUGAAGGAAAGCAUGUUAGACUUGAAGGAAAUU